rnacentral:ncRNA from 1 species
ACAGCAACAUAAGCGCCAGAGCUUCCUGAACUCGCGCGGAGGGAAUCGGUCACAUAUCGCCCGGAAAGUAAAGGAAAGGGAGACGAGUGUGGCAGGACCCAUGGAGCGGGAAGCUGACGAGGUAGAGGUGUUCGAAACAUUCGGCGGGGACCUCUCGGUUAAGCAUCAAACCGUAAAUCAGACAGCAAAAGGUACGGGUGACCGUUCUUACAAACUGUUGAUGAGAUGCAG